AGGGAGCCUAAGAAACGGCUACCACAUCCAAGGAAG
rnacentral:rRNA from 2 species